UACGUGGGGGGCUAGCGUUGUCCGGAAUCAUUGAGCGUAAAGCGCGUGUAGGCGGUCCGGUAAGUCCGCUGUGAAAGUCGGGGGCUCAACCCUCGGAUGCCGGUGGAUACUGUCGGGCUUGAGUACGGAAGAGGCGAGUGGAAUUCCUGGUGUAGCGGUGAAAUGCGCAGAUAUCAGGAGGAACACCAAUUGCGAAGGCAGCUCGCUGGGACGUUACUGACGCUGAGGAGCGAAAGCAUGGGUAGCGAACAGG
rnacentral:rRNA from 1 species